AAUGUUCUCAUCUUUGUGAAGAUGGUGGUAAUGCAGGUCCUCUUGAAUCUGAUGAUUGGGUGAAUGUGAGGAAUGUGAUAGAGUUUCUUGCAAGAUUUCACGAGCUAACUAAAAAAGUUUCAGUGUGGCGUCGGAAUGCGCGUUUAGCACUGGUGGCCGUAUUCUUGAUUCAUUUAGGAGUUCAUUGACUCCUAAAUGUGUGCAAGCUCUUAUUUGUGUUCAAGAUUGGCUUAGAGAAGAGAAGAAUCCUAUUAGUAUUGAAGAAGACUUGAAGUAUCUUGAGGAACUCGAGCUUGAUAUGGAAAAUAAUGGAAGCACUACUAGCAUUGUUUGAUGUAUAGUUGGAACUUACAUCUUGAGUGGUUCAAGUGCAAUCAUGCCC